GGGGCACAUCUCAAGUUUGUGCGUGAAUCUAACCCCAUCACAGCCGUCCGUUUUCCCGCUCUCAUCUGAUGGCGUUAGAUUCACGCACAAACUCGCGAUCUGUCC
rnacentral:pre_miRNA from 1 species